CGUAGGGUGCGAGCGUUAAUCGGAAUUACUGGGCGUAAAGCGUGCGCAGGCGGUUUGUUAAGAUAGGCGUGAAAUCCCCGGGCUCAACCUGGGAACUGCGCUUAUGACUGGCAAGCUAGAGUACGGCAGAGGGGGGUGGAAUUCCACGUGUAGCAGUGAAAUGCGUAGAGAUGUGGAGGAACACCAAUGGCGAAGGCAGCCCCCUGGGUCGAUACUGACGCUCAUGCACGGAAGCGUGGGUAGCAAACAGGAUUAGAUACCCUGGUAGUCCACGCCCUAAACGAUGUCAACUAGGUGUUGGGAGGGUAAAACCUUUUAGUACCGGAGCUAACGCGUGAAGUUGACCGCCUGGGGAGUACGGCCGCAAGGUUA
rnacentral:rRNA from 1 species